AUGGCAGCCACAAUCAAAAGCUCCUAUGUACUGAAGCCAGCUGAAGCAACAUGGCAAGGCUGCUAAACUCAAUCUGAAUGGGAUCAAAUUGGCUGCAUAACUCACGUCGGCAGUAUCUACUUCUAUAGACCAGACCAACACUGUGUCACCCCAACUGACGCCAUUGCCAAUACCCUCAAAGACUCACUACGCCGCGCUUUGGUGCCGUUCUACCCACUAGCAGGUCGUCUGCGUUGGAUCGAGGGAGGCCGUCUUGAGCUCGACUGCAAUGGCAUGGGGGUUGAGUUCAUUGAAGCCGAGUCUGAUUUGAAACUCGAUGACUUGGGUGACUUCUCUCCUUCUCCGGAAUAUCACUCUCUGUUCCCCACUGUAGACUACAACCUCCCAUUUCAUGAACUUCCUCUAUUGUUUGUCCAACUGACAAGGUUCAAAUGUGGCGGUUUUAGUCUCGGCUUGGAAAUAUCACAUGCAGUUACUAAUGGCCAAAGUGCGUGUCAUUUCAUUGGCGAGUGGGCUAAGCUCACAAGGGGAGAGCCAAUUGGAGUAAUGCCAUUUCUUGAUGGACAAGCCUUCCUAGCUCGACACCUCCCAGCUCCAACUCAAGUGUUUGACCAUAUAGAGUUCAACCAACCACCGAUUUUACUUGGGCAAUCAGAUAAUUUACAGGAGAGUAAGAUGCAAACAACUUUAACCAUGUUAAAGCUCACCAAAGAACAAGUUGAUAAACUUAAGCAAAUGGCGAAUGAGGGUACCAAUUUCUUGCUGCCUGUAGCGUGUUUUAGGGUAAUCUUUGAUUUUAAUGAUUCCUAUAGCUUGGGAAUCCGAGUGGGACAUCUUCAAUUGGCUGGACACAUCUGGAGAUGUGCAUUGAGGUCGAGAAACCACAAAGAUGAACAGCCAACGGCAUUGAUGGUUUGCGUUGACCUUCGAAGUCGUAUGAAACCUCAAUUGCCCCAAGGUUACUUUGGCAAUGCAGUAUUUUAUAUGCCUGCCACAAGUCUUGCCGAUGACUUGUUGUCAAAGCCAUUAGGGUACGUGUUGAGUAGAAUAAGGGAGGCGGUCGAGAAGGUGACAAUGGAUUAUGUGCUGUCAGCCCAUGAAAAGUUGAAGAAUGAACCAGACUUAACUCGGUUUCAAGACCUUCAUUAUGCUAAAGAGAGUGAACGAGGGCCUUUUAAUGGAAACCCUAAUAUUGGGGUUCUGAAUUGGUUGACACUGCUUAUAUAUGGGCUGGAUUUUGGUUGGGGAAAGGAGAUUUAUAUGGGUCCAGGGCCGCAUGAUUUUGAUGGGGAUUCUUUGAUCCUUCCAGGUGCCGAUAGAGAUGGUUCUGUGGUUGUGGCUACAAGUGGCCCAUAUAGAUGUUUUCAAGAAGCACUUCUAUGAAGAUAUCAUAUAA